rnacentral:lncRNA from 1 species
AAAAAAAUAAAAUGGACAUGACCUGAAAGUUUUUGCUAUAAGACAAGCUUUAGAGAAGUAAGAAUCAACAUCUGUACCCCUCACAAAAACUCGGAAGCAAACACUCCUAGAAAAUGUGAAAGUUUUUAGAGAUUUAUGUGAUAUUUUAUCACACAACCAUAUAAGGAAUCAAUAAAUGAAAAAUUAAUUAUUCGACCAACCCUUGGAUCAAUACAUGACGGCAUUUCCACCAAGAAGUUUUUUAAGAAACAAAGUGCGUUGAGUGCGUGUUGAAAUUGAGUGUCGGUAACGUAGUAACGACCCACUCUAUUGGCUUUAUUCAUAUUAGGAUAAGAAUUACUUUUUGCAUUUCGUUAUUUGUCUUAUUUUGGAAGGUUGACAAUGUUUUAUAAAGCAUUAGAAUUUACUUAUAAGUGAACGAGUAAGAAUUGUGUUGAUGUUAAAC